UGGGGAAUAUUGCACAAUGGGGGAAACCCUGAUGCAGCAACGCCGCGUGCGGGAUGACGGCCUUCGGGUUGUAAACCGCUUUCAGCCAUGACGAAGCUUUUGUGACGGUAGUGGCAGAAGAAGCACCGGCUAACUACGUGCCAGCAGCCGCGGUGAUACGUAGGGUGCGAGCGUUGUCCGGAAUUAUUGGGCGUAAAGGGCUUGUAGGCGGUUUGUCGCGUCGAAAGUGUAAACUCAGUGCUUAACGCUGAGCCUGCUUUCGAUACGGGCUGACUAGAGGAAGGUAGGGGAGAAUGGAAUUCCCGGUGGAGCGGUGGAAUGCGCAGAGAUCGGGAGGAACACCAGUGGCGAAGGCGGUUCUCUGGACCUUUCCUGACGCUGAGAAGCGAAAGCGUGGGUAGCAAACAGG
rnacentral:rRNA from 1 species